rnacentral:misc_RNA from 1 species
UUCACAAUGUAAGUCAUUUUAGCAUUUUCCACAUUCAUAGUGAUGUUGAUGUUAAUGAAUCUACAUAGAUAUAUAUGUCUAGAUUCAUUAACAUCAAUAUGAAUGUGGGAAAUGUUAGAAUGACUUACAUUAUGAAACAG